rnacentral:rRNA from 1 species
UACGUAGGUGGCAAGCGUUGUCCGGAUUUACUGGGCGUAAAGAGCGCGCAGGCGGUCGCUCAAGUCGCGUGUGAAAGCCCCCGGCUCAACUGGGGAGGGUCACGCGAUACUGAUCGACUGGAAGGCAGGAGAGGGUAGUGGAAUUCCCGGUGUAGUGGUGAAAUGCGUAGAUAUUGGGAGGAACAUCGGUGGCGAAGGCGGCUACCUGGACGGGUACUGACGCUGAUGCGCGAAAGCUAGGGGAGCAAACAGG